rnacentral:rRNA from 1 species
UGGGGAAUAUUGGACAAUGGGCGCAAGCCUGAUCCAGCCAUGCCUCGUGAGUGAUGAAGGCCCUAGGGUUGUAAAGCUCUUUCACCGGUGAAGUUAAUGACGGUAACCGGAGUAGAAGCCCCGGCUAACUCCGUGCCUGCAGCCGCGGUAAUACGAAGGGGGCUAGCGUUGUUCGGCUUUACUGGGCGUAAAGCGCACGUAGGCGGAAUAUUAAGUCAGGGGUAAAAUCCCGGGGCUCAACCCCGGAACUGCCUUUGAUACUGGUAGUCUUGAGUUCGAGAGAGGUGAGUGGAAUUCCGAGUGUAGGGGUGAAUUUCGUAGAUAUUCGGAGGAACACCAGAGGCGAAGGCGGCUCACUGGCUCGAUACUGACGCUGAGGUGCGAAAGCGUGGGGAGCAACCAGG